rnacentral:rRNA from 1 species
GACGAACGCUGGCGGCGUGCUUAACACAUGCCAGUCGAACGGAAAGGCCCUGCUUUUGUGGGGUGCUCGAGUGGCGAACGGGUGAGUAACACGUGAGUAACCUGCCCUUGACUUUGGGAUAACUUCAGGAAACUGGGGCUAAUACCGGAUAGGAGCUCCUGCUGCAUGGUGGGGGUUGGAAAGUUUCGGCGGUUGGGGAUGGACUCGCGGCUUAUCAGCUUGUUGGGGGGGUAGUGGCUUACCAAGGCUUUGACGGGUAGCCGGCCUGAGAGGGUGACCGGCCACAUUGGGACUGAGAUACGGCCCAGACUCCUACGGGAGGCAGCAGUGGGGAAUAUUGCACAAUGGGCGGACGCCUGAUGCAGCAACGCCGCGUGCGGGAUGACGGCCUUCGGGUUGUAAACCGCUUUCGCCUGUGACGAAGCGUGAGUGACGGUAAUGGGUAAAGAAGCACCGGCUAACUACGUG